UGAGUGUUUAAACCUGGUGCUUCAGUCGAACUGGCAGGUCCUGGAGGCUGAGAGGAUAUGAAAUAGGAAAUCAACCAACCUAACUCUCAACAAGACUUAGAUACCAGAGGCUUUGGCUGCCAACAGCAUGAAGUGCAGAGUCCUGUGUAGGUCUCUGGCUGACAUUCCUGAGCACAGGCUGCAGGGAAGCUUUCAAACUGAUGCAAGCUAACAGAAUUACCUAAGCAAGAAGUGACACACUGUACUUACCUCCAAGCAGUAACAAAACCAUAAGAUCAGAAGCUGUUUUAAGCUCUGCAACAUCAUCCUCUUUGUCACUGUCGACGGUCUUCUGGACAAU